UGUAUUCAGGAACUCCAACUAAACAGUUCAGGUAUUGGAGAUGAGGGUGCAAGGGUUAUUGCAGAUAUGCUGAAAGAAAAUCAAACUUUACGUGUACUGGAACUUAACAAUAAUAUGAUUGAAUAUUCUGGUUUUGCAAGUCUUGCUGGAGCACUAGUUGAGAAUAAGGCAAUU